AUUGAACGCUGGCGGCAGGCCUAACACAUGCAAGUCGAGCGGAUGAAGGGAGCUUGCUCCUGGAUUCAGCGGCGGACGGGUGAGUAAUGCCUAGGAAUCUGCCUGGUAGUGGGGGAUAACGUCCGGAAGCGGGCGCUAAUACCGCAUACGUCCUGAGGGAGAAAGUGGGGGAUCUUCGGACCUCACGCUAUCAGAUGAGCCUAGGUCGGAUUAGCUAGUUGGUGGGGUAAAGGCCUACCAAGGCGACGAUCCGUAACUGGUCUGAGAGGAUGAUCAGUCACACUGGAACUGAGACACGGUCCAGACUCCUACGGGAGGAAGCAGUGGGGAAUAUUGGACAAUGGGCGAAAGCCUGAUCCAGCCAUGCCGCGUGUGUGAAGAAGGUCUUCGGAUUGUAAAGCACUUUAAGUUGGGAGGAAGGGCAGUAAGUUAAUACCUUGCUGUUCUGACGUUACCAACAGAAUAAGCACCGGCUAACUUCGUG
rnacentral:rRNA from 1 species